GAGGGUAUAGCUCAGUGGUCAGUGGUAGAGUGUGUGCUUAGCACGCACGAGGUCCUGGGUCCAAUCCCCAGUGCUUCCA
rnacentral:tRNA from 1 species